rnacentral:rRNA from 1 species
AGAGUUUGAUCCUGGCUCAGAGCGAACGCUGGCGGCGUGCUUAACACAUGCAAGUCGAGUGCGCGGCUGUAGCAAUACAGCUGGCGCACGGCGCACGGGUGCGUAACACGUGGGCAAUCUGCCCUCAGAUGGGGGAUAACCCCGCGAAAGCGGGGCUAAUACCGCAUGACAUUCCGGGGACCCCGGUCCCUGGAUUCAAA